rnacentral:rRNA from 1 species
AUUGAACGCUGGCGGCAGGCCUAACACAUGCAAGUCGAGCGGAGCGGCGGACGGGUGAGUAAUGCCUAGGAAUCUGCCUGGUAGUGGGGGAUACCGUCCGGAAACGGGCGCUAAUACCGCAUACUAUCAGAUGAGCCUAGUUCGGAUUAGCUAGGUGGGGGGGUAACGGCCUACCAAGGCGACGAUCCUUAACUGGUCUGAGAGGAUGAUCAGUCACACUGGAACUGAGACACGGUCCAGACUCCUACGUGAGGCAGCAGUGGGGAAUAUUGGACAAUGGGCGAAAGCCUGAUCCAGCCAUGCCGCGUGUGUGAAGAAGGUCUUCGGAUUGUAAAGCACUUUCAGCGGGGAGGCGUUACCCGCAGAAGAAGCACCGGCUAACUCCGUGCCAGCAGCCGCGGUAAUAC